GCGGGUGUAGCUCAAUGGUAGAGCGUCAGCUUCCCAAGCUGAAUGCUGUGGGUUCGAUCCCCAUCACCCGCUCCA
rnacentral:tRNA from 1 species